GAUGAACGCUGGCGGCGUGCCUAAUACAUGCAAGUCGAGCGAACGGACGAGGAGCUUGCUUCUCUGAUGUUAGCGGCGGACGGGUGAGUAACACGUGGAUAACCUACCUAUAAGACUGGGAUAACUUCGGGAAACCAGAGCUAAUACCGGAUAAUAUUUUGAACCGCAUGGUUCAAAAGUGAAAGACGGUCUUGCUGCCACUUAUAGAUGGAUCCGCGCUGCAUUAGCUAGUUGGUAAGGUAACGGCUUACCAAGGCAACGAUGCAUAGCCGACCUGAGAGGGUGAUCGGCCACACUGGAACUGAGACACGGUCCAGACUCCUACGGGAGGCAGCAGUAGGGAAUCUUCCGCAAUGGGCGAAAGCCUGACGGAGCAACGCCGCGUGAGUGAUGAAGGUCUUCGGAUCGUAAAACUCUGUUAUUAGGGAAGAACAUAUGUGUAAGUAACUGUGCACAUCUUGACGGUACCUAAUCAGAAAGCCACGGCUAACUACGUG
rnacentral:rRNA from 1 species